rnacentral:tRNA from 1 species
GCCCCCAUGGUGUAGUCCGGUCAAUUAAAAAUUGUAGACUUUCAAAGCGUAUAAAAUCUGCAAUUUUAGAUCAAUCAUUCAGCCUUUUCGAGGCUGGGACACGGGUUCAAAUCCCGUUGGGGGCA